rnacentral:rRNA from 1 species
CAUAGUACAUUUACUUAAAAAGGUAGCAAUUAGCAUCACUACCAGAUGGACCUCGCGUUGUAUUAGUCUAGUUGGUUGAGGUAACGGACUCUACCAAGGCAACGAUACAUAGCCGACCUGAGAGGGUGAUCGGCCACACUGGGACUGAGACACGGCCCAGACUCCUACGGGAGGCAGCAGUAGGGAAUCUUCGGCAAUGGACGGAAGUCUGACCGAGCAACGCCGCGUGAGUGAAGAAGGUUUUCGGAUCGUAAAGCUCUGUUGUAAGAGAAGAACGAGUGUGAGAGUGGAAAGUUCACACUGUGACGGUAUCUUACCAGAAAGGGACGGCUAACUAC